rnacentral:rRNA from 1 species
GGUGAGUAACACGUGAGCAACCUGCCCUGGACUCUGGGAUAACAGUUGGAAACAGCUGCUAAUACCGGAUAUGAGCUCUCAUCGCAUGGUGGGGGUUGGAAAGAUUUUUUGGUCUGGGAUGGGCUCGCGGCCUAUCAGCUUGUUGGUGAGGUAAUGGCUCACCAAGGCGUCGACGGGUAGCCGGCCUGAGAGGGUGACCGGCCACACUGGGACUGAGACACGGCCCAGACUCCUACGGGAGGCAGCAGUGGGGAAUAUUGCACAAUGGGCGGAAGCCUGAUGCAGCAACGCCGCGUGAGGGAUGACGGCCUUCGGGUUGUAAACCUCUUUUAGCAGGGAAGAAGCGUGAGUGACGGUACCUGCAGAAAAAGCGCCGGCUAACUACGUGCCAGCAGCCGCGGUAAUACGUAGGGCGCAAGCGUUAUCCGGAAUUAUUGGGCGUAAAGAGCUCGUAGGCGGUUUGUCGCGUCUGCUGUGAAAUCCCGAGGCUCAACUUCGGGUCUGCAGUGGGUACGGGCAGACUAGAGUGCGGUAGGGGAGAUUGGAAUUCCUGGUGUAGCGGUGGAAUGCGCAGAUAUCAGGAGGAACACCGAUGGCGAAGGCAGAUCUCUGGGCCGUAACUGACGCUGAGGAGCGAAAGGGUGGGGAGCAAACAGGCUUAGAUACCCUGGUAGUCCACCCCGUAAACGUUGGGAACUAGUUGUGGGGUCCAUUCCACGGAUUCCGUGACG